CCCAUGAUACUGGGUGUGAGCUGAUGGACUCCUCCCUGUUCUGCCUUUCCACUUAAAUAUUCCCCAGGCACAGGGAACAAAGCAGAGUGUUUUAACAUCGAGGAUCAUACUUUGUAAGGUCGUUUUUGUAACCAGGAUCCGAGACUCAGCACAAACGGAAAAGGUGACCUCGCAGGAAAACCGUGUGGAGAAUUCAAGCAGUGAGGACCUCCUGAGCCAGAGGUACAGACACUACCAGUUACAGAGUCACCAUGUCUCUGGCUGUUACUGGGUGUUAAUGGG